rnacentral:rRNA from 1 species
GACGAACGCUGGCGGCGUGCUUAACACAUGCAAGUCGAACGGAAAGGCCCUGCUUGUGUGGGGUGCUCGAGUGGCGAACGGGUGAGUAACACGUGAGUAACCUGCCCUUGACUUUGGGAUAACUUCAGGAAACUGGGGCUAAUACCGGAUAGGAGCUCCUGCUGCAUGGUGGGGGUUGGAAAGUUUCGGCGGUUGGGGAUGGACUCGCGGCUUAUCAGCUUGUUGGUGGGGUAGUGGCUUACCCAGGCUUUGACGGGUAGCCGGCCUGAGAGGGUGACCGGCCACAAUGGGACUGAGAGACGGCCCAGACUCCUACGGGAGGCAGAAGUGGGGAAUAUUGCACAAUGGGCGGAAGCCUGAUGCAGCAACGCCGCGUGCGGGAUGACGGCCUUCGGGUUGUAAACCGCUUUCGCCUGUGACGAAGCGUGAGUGACGGUAAUGGGUAAAGAAGCACCGGCUAACUACGUG